UACGGGGGGGGGCAAGCGUUGUUCGGAAUUACUGGGCGUAAAGGGCUCGUAGGUGGCCAACUAAGUCAUACGUGAAAUCCCUCGGCUUAACCGGGGAACUGCGUCUGAUACUGGAUGGCCUGAGUUUGGGAGAGGGACGCGGAAUUCCUGGUGUAGCGGUGAAAUGCGCAGAUAUCAGGAGGAACACCGAUGGCGAAGGCAGGUCUCUGGGCAUUAACUGACGCUGAGGAGCGAAAGCAUGGGGAGCGAACAGG
rnacentral:rRNA from 1 species